AUAAAAGAAUAAGAAUAUGAUGUUGGUUCAGAUUAAGCGCUAAAUAAGGACAUGACACAUGCGAAUCAUACGUUUAUUAUUGAUAAGAUAAUAAAUAUGUGGUGUAAACGUGAGUAAUUUUAUUAGGAAUAAUGAACUAUAGAAUAAGCUAAAUACUUAAUAAAUAUUAUAUAAAAAGUAUAUUUAUAUAAUAAAAAAGAAUAUAUUAUAUAUAUUUAUCUAUAGUCAAGCCAAUAAUGGUUUAGGUAGUAGGUUUAUUAAGAGUUAAACCUAGCCAACGAUCCAUAAUCGAUAAUGAAAGUUAGAACGAUCACGUUGACUCUGAAAUAUAGUCAAUAUCUAUAAGAUACAGCAGUGAGGAAUAUUGGACAAUGAUCGAAAGAUUGAUCCAGUUACUUAUUAGGAUGAUAUAUAAAUAAUUUAUUUUUUUAUAAAUAAAUAAAUAAUAUAUAUAAAUUGAUUAAAAAUAAAAUCCAUAAAUAAUUAAAAUAAUGAUAUUAAUUACCAUAUAUAAUAAUGGAUAUAUAAUAAUUAUAAUAUUAAAUAUAUUAUAAUUUAAUUAUAUAUUUUAAUAGUCCUGACUAAUAUUUGUGCCAGCAGUCGCGGUAACACAAAGAGGGCGAGCGUUAAUCAUAAUGGUUUAAAGGAUCCGUAGAAUGAAUUAAUUAUAUAAUUUAGAGUUAAUAAAAUUAAUUAAAGAAUUAUAAUAGUAAAGAUGAAAUAAUAAUAAUAAUUAUAAGACUAAUAUAUGUGAAAAUAUUAAUUAAAUAUUAACUGACAUUGAGGGAUUAAAACUAGAGUAGCGAAACGGAUUCGAUACCCGUGUAGUUCUAGUAGUAAACUAUGAAUACAAUUAUUUAUAAUAUAUAUUAUAUAUAAAUAAUAAAUGAAAAUGAAAGUAUUCCACCUGAAGAGUACGUUAGCAAUAAUGAAACUCAAAACAAUAGACGGUUACAGACUUAAGCAGUGGAGCAUGUUAUUUAAUUCGAUAAUCCACGACUAACCUUACCAUAUUUUGAAUAUUAUAAUAAUUAUUAUAAUUAUUAUAUUACAGGCGUUACAUUGUUGUCUUUAGUUCGUGCUGCAAAGUUUUAGAUUAAGUUCAUAAACGAACAAAACUCCAUAUAUAUAAUUUUAAUUAUAUAUAAUUCUAUAUUAUUUAUUAAUAUAAAGAAAGGAAUUAAGACAAAUCAUAAUGAUCCUUAUAAUAUGGGUAAUAGACGUGCUAUAAUAAAAUGAUAAUAAAAUUAUAUAAAAUAUAUAUAAAAUAUAUUUAAUUAAUAAUAUAAAACAUUUUAAUUUUUAAUAUAUUUUUAUAUUAUAUAUUAAUAUGAAUUAUAAUCUGAAAUUCGAUUAUAUGAAAAAAGAAUUGCUAGUAAUACGUAAAUUAGUAUGUUACGGUGAAUAUUCUAACUGUUUCGCACUAAUCACUCAUCACGCGUUGAAACAUAUUAUUAUCUUAUUAUUUAUAUAAUAUUUUUUAAUAAUUAUUAAUAUUAUUAAUUUAUAUUUAUUUAUAUCAGAAAUAAUAUGAAUUAAUGCGAAGUUGAAAUACAGUUACCGUAGGGGAACCUGCGGUGGGCUUAUAAAUAUCUUAAAUAUUCUUACA
rnacentral:ncRNA from 1 species